rnacentral:siRNA from 1 species
GGAGAGUGUCGUUACGGCGA